UACGAAGGGGGCUAGCGUUGCUCGGAAUUACUGGGCGUAAAGCGCACGUAGGCGGAUUGUUAAGUCGGGGGGUGAAAGCCCGGAGCUCAACUCCGGAACUGCCUUUAAGACUGCAUCGCUAGAAUUGUGGAGAGGUGAGUGGAAUUCCGAGUGUAGAGGUGAAAUUCGUAGAUAUUCGGAAGAACACCAGUGGCGAAGGCGACUCACUGGACACAUAUUGACGCUGAGGUGCGAAAGCGUGGGGAGCAAACAGG
rnacentral:rRNA from 1 species